AAAAUUCUGUUGUUAGGGAAGAACAAGUAUCGUUCGAAUAGGGCGGUACCUUGACGGUACCUAACCAGAAAGCCACGGCUAACUACGUGCCAGCAGCCGCGGUAAUACGUAGGUGGCAAGCGUUGUCCGGAAUUAUUGGGCGUAAAGCGCGCGCAGGCGGUUUCUUAAGUCUGAUGUGAAAUCUUGCGGCUCAACCGCAAGCGGCCAUUGGAAACUGGGAGACUUGAGUGCAGAAGAGGAGAGUGGAAUUCCACGUGUAGCGGUGAAAUGCGUAGAGAUGUGGAGGAACACCAGUGGCGAAGGCGACUCUCUGGUCUGUAACUGACGCUGAGGCGCGAAAGCGUGGGGAGCGAACAGGAUUAGAUACCCUGGUAGUCCACGCCGUAAACGAUGAGUGCUAAGUGUUAGAGGGUUUCCGCCCUUUAGUGCUGCAGCUAACGCAUUAAGCACUCCGCCUGGGGAGUACGGCCGCAAGGCUGAAACUCAAAGGAAUUGACGGGGGCCCGCACAAGCGGUGGAGCAUGUGGUUUAAUUCGAAGCAACGCGAAGAACCUUACCAGGUCUUGACAUCCUCUUGACCUCCCUAGAGAUAGGGAUUUCCCUUCGGGGACAGGAGUGACAGGUGGUGCAUGGUUGUCGUCAGCUCGUGUCGUGAGAUGUUGGGUUAAGUCCCGCAACGAGCGCAACCCUUGACCUUAGUUGCCAGCAUUCAGUUGGGCACUCUAAGGUGACUGCCGGUGACAAACCGGAGGAAGGUGGGGAUGACGUCAAAUCAUCAUGCCCCUUAUGACCUGGGCUACACACGUGCUACAAUGGAUGGUACAAAGGGCUGCAAGACCGCGAGGUUUAGCCAAUCCCAUAAAACCAUUCUCAGUUCGGAUUGUAGGCUGCAACUCGCCUACAUGAAGCCGGAAUCGCUAGUAAUCGCGGAUCAGCAUGCCGCGGUGAAUACGUU
rnacentral:rRNA from 2 species